UACAGAGGUCCCGAGCGUUGUUCGGAUUCACUGGGCGUAAAGGGUGCGUAGGUGGCGCCAUAAGUCGGGUGUGAAAUCUCGGGGCUUAACUCCGAAACUGCAUUCGAUACUGUGGUGCUUGAGGACUGGAGAGGAGACUGGAAUUCAUGGUGUAGCAGUGAAAUGCAUAGAGAUCAUGAGGAAGACCAGUGGCGAAGGCGGGUCUCUGGACAGUUCCUGACACUGAGGCACGAAGGCCAGGGGAGCAAACGGG
rnacentral:rRNA from 1 species